rnacentral:rRNA from 1 species
UACAGAGGUCCCAAGCGUUGUUCGGAAUUACUGGGCGUAAAGGGCUCGUAGGCGGCCAACUAAGUCAGACGUGAAAUCCCUCGGCUUAACCGGGGAACUGCGUCUGAUACUGGAUGGCUUGAGUUUGGGAGAGGGAUGCGGAAUUCCAGGUGUAGCGGUGAAAUGCGUAGAUAUCGUGAGGAAGACCAGUGGCGAAGGCGGGUCUCUGGACAGUUCCUGACACUGAGGCACGAAGGCCAGGGGAGCAAACGGG